GAUUAACGCUAGCGGCAGGCCUAAUACAUGCAAGUCGAACGGGAUUCAAAGUAGCAAUAUUUUGAUGAGAGUGGCGCACGGGUGAGUAACACGUAUGCAAUUUACCUUUAACUGGGGGAUAGCCCUCCGAAAGGAGGAUUAAUACCGCAUAAUAUAUUGAAAUGGCAUCAUUUUAAUAUUAAAACCUACGGGGGUUAAAGAUGAGCAUGCAUCCGAUUAGCUAGUUGGUGUGGUAACGGCUCACCAAGGCAACGAUCGGUAGGGGUCUGAGAGGAUGAUCCCCCACACUGGUACUGAGACACGGACCAGACUCCUACGGGAGGCAGCAGUAAGGAAUAUUGGACAAUGGAGGCAACUCUGAUCCAGCCAUGCCGCGUGAAGGAUUAAGGCCCUAUGGGUUGUAAACUUCUUUAGACGGGACAAAACCCCUUUACGUGUAAAGGGUUGAUGGUACUGUCAGAAUAAGCAUCGGCUAACUUCGUGCCAGCAGCCGCGGUAAU
rnacentral:rRNA from 1 species